rnacentral:rRNA from 1 species
UACGUAGGGCGCAAGCGUUGUCCGGAAUUAUUGGGCGUAAAGAGCUCGUAGGCGGCUUGUCACGUCGGAUGUGAAAGCCCGAGGCUUAACCUCGGGUCUGCAUUCGAUACGGGCUAGCUAGAGUGUGGUAGGGGAGAUCGGAAUUCCUGGUGUAGCGGUGAAAUGCGCAGAUAUCAGGAAGAACACCCGUGGCUAAGGCGGUUCUCUAGUACGGUACUGACGCUGAGACGCGAAAGCGUGGGGAGCGAACAGG